AUCACUUCGGACCUGACACCGGACACAGCGGACCUCCACUACACUCGUGUCUUCUCCGUGGCGUUCUAUCUCCAGCGCGAAACUAAAAAACUCGUCCUGUGAAGUGGAGCGUCUAUACCGCGAGGACCCUGAAGUGUGCCUGCCGUCCCCACAUGACCAGAGGAUCGCGUGUGCAAGACAAUAAGGCUGCGAAGUUAUGAAACUGUGAUGGGUGAAGACAGUAAAGUUGCAGUUGACCACUCCAGGACAAAAACAGGGGAAGCUGGGAGCCCCAAGAGCCACACUUAACAAAGAAGAGGACAUGUCGAUGAGAGAGGGAUUUGAGAGAUAUGCACCCAUGGCCUCCUGUUUGCAAUCUGAAACUAGCCUCCCAGUAAUCUCAAGUCUUCUCAAGAGUAAUAUGGUCAAACUGCAGAGGAAGCGGAGGAGACACAAUUGCGGCGCUAAGGAAAUGGAAUCACACACACAUACACGCACGCAUGCACACACACAGACACACACACACACAAUCACACAUGUACACUCACACCUGGAGGGGAAGAGCAGGUGAGUAUUAAGUCAGGAAGCUAAACAGAUCACGUCGCGGUAUGAUAUCAGCAGACAGGCAGACAGACAGAGGAGACUGGUCCAUACCUGCAGGCGCUCGGCAACAGCUCACACAUACACAAACCUGGCUAGGAAUGUCCUCCCCCCCCUCCGGAGACAGCCACACCAGGGGAGGGGGGAGGACGAAGCCAGGGGACUGAGAAUGAACCAGAGCUACUGUUGAAAUGUGGUCAGGAAAUGUUGUAAAAAAGGAGGGCGACAUUUUGUUUCAAGAUGUUGAGUAUUUGGACUGCAACAUAUAAAAAACAUGCAGAUUUUUUAUUGAUAUUAUUAGGCUUGUCUUGAGUGUGACAUUUUGCUACAGAAAAUAUGAUAAACAGUAAUAUUGAAAGAGUUAACACAAGUUAAGUUAACACUUAAGCAAUAACCUUUAAGCAGGGUAACACAAAAGCUAUUCAGAAUGUACAGUAUUGUUAAAAACAUGACACCAUAAUAGAAGUAUAAUAAUAGCCAUAGAAAGUACUAAUUUAACUUUCCACAGCAGAAAUCUUAUCAUACUACCAAAAAAAAAGUUGCACACUUUAGUACUGUAUUAAGUACUGAGCUCAAAAAUAUUAUUCUAGUUAUCAUAUACUGAACUACAAAGUCAGUAUAGUAAUUAUCGUGACCUAGGCAUAGAUACCAUGUAAAAAGUAGUGUCAAAAUUAAUGUAAAUUCAAGGACCAAAAUGCAGCCCACUUGAUGUAUUCAGAAUUUUGACUGGACUCUUUAUGGCUGGAUGGUCUAAUUUGAUUCUACUAUGACUGUUUUGUAUUGAUUUAUUUUUCAAAAGCAACAGUUUUCUCAGCUGAGAUUAACCAAAUUGAUAGUUGUCUUUUUUAUGAAGCAAAUAACAUAUCAUUGACAAAUUAUCUUCACACCAAUUUACCUCAUGGAAAGAUAAGAACUGUAAAAGUGAUUUAAUCCAUUCACACAGUAGCAGCUAUAUUAGUCAUCGAUGAUCCUUUUGUUAUCAUAUGUAAUCUGAUAAUCUGCUGGACAAUUUGUCUUUCUGAAAUAUUUUUUGUCGUUUGAUAGUAAUGGCCUAACUCUGAGAGUUGUUACGCAAACUAGUUUAUCCAGUUUUCCUUCAAAACCCUUCCACCUAUUCCUACCUCCCAUUUGUCAACCCCUUUUUAUGUAGCUCAUGAUUCAUUUAUUUUAUUACUGGUAACAUCAAAUUUCCCCAAAAAGCAGCCUCUCCUUACACAAAACCGCCAGAUGCACUUAUCUAAAAAUGAUUCCGUGGUUAAAUGUCAGAGCUGUCGGUACCAUUAAGGCCAGUUGAGUUGAAGACAGGACACCCUCUCGCCUCCUCUUCCACUGUCUCUUCCUAUUUCUCCAGCUCCUUGCUCAUCAUCAAAUAGCCCUCCGCCCACCCCUCUCCCCACCCGACCAGGCUGCUGUGAGGGCUGAUGUUGCAGACCUUGUCAUUCAGAUUUGGGCCACAUUGUCAGCUGGCGGCCCUCCUCCCCCCUCUCCUCUUCCAACCGGAUCUUUCUUCGUACUGUCAUCCAGGUCCUGCGGCCAGAGGAGACCUUAUGAAACAUCGUUCCUCUUCAUCCACUUCUGUCAGUUUCAGCACUGUCACUCAAAUCACAUAUUUUUUUAGUAAGAAGUCACAGUUAGGCUCAGAGCAAGGACUGUGCUUUUUUGGGUAAAUUUGGUUAGAAAUUGUCAACUAGGAGAGCUAGAGGCCUUUAAAUACACCACAUUGCAAAGACAGUGGCUGUGGUUACAUUCACACCAACAUCUGAUUAUUAUAUCUGAUUUGUAGACCUUUAAGAUUACUUAAAUGAUACGCAAACAGCACAAUCUGAUGUGAGUAAUCAGAGGGACCAUGAUGACCAGAAGUUUUUUCACGUCAUUUUAAUACAGUUAUAACUCCAAAAAACUGAUAGUAAUCCUACUUUGAUUGCAUACUGAUGGCACGGCAGUUGAAAUAUUUUGCCCAUGAGCACAAAAAUGUCCAAGUGGAGGCAGGAAUUGAACUGACAACUUUCCAGUUAGUGGGUAUGGUGCUCUGUACACUGAGAUCUUGUCACACCAAGUUAUAUUUUUAUAUAUUUUAUUGCAUUAUCAUGAAGAUCCAACAUUUUAUAUCAAUGGAAAUACCACAAAAGUGGAUAGAUUACAGUGACAUACAAGUGUUUUUUAAUAUAUCAAUAUUUUUAUAUUCUAAAUUCUCUCUAGUUAAACCCCAGCCAGAACAGUUGAUAGUAAGCUCCACCUUCACAUCACUUCUCAUAAACACUAAACAAUGUCCGACACAUUCUGUAUCAUCCAACCACAUGUUGACUCAAAACCACAUUUUAUUGUUCUGCGUCAGAUCAGUUGUGGCUUUUGGCUGCUCCUAUAAAACUGUUUUUGUAGUAAUGAUUCAGAAUUGUGUAAUACCUCACACAUUUCCAUGGUAUUAAUUAGACAGUAAGUCAAACCUGUUGUGCUCCCUUAAUGAUAUGCCAUGCUUUACUGAAAGUGAGUCAACCAUUUUGAACCUUGUUGUGAGUAAUCUUAUAGGCAAACCAUGUAAAACGCUUCAGUCCCAUGUAUCGUCUACAGCCCUGCCCAGGUGCACUGUUUGCUAAAAGCCACUAUGAGUCAGGAGUUUCGAGAUGACUUCCUCUCUUAAACAUGUAUUAAAAGUGUUUCCCGUUCAUGGUUCAGUCAAGGUGUCAUUAUCAGUGUAUGUCAUAGAGUAGUACAGCAGAUUUCUACUGUAAGAUGCUUACCCAGAUUAGAAGUAUUCAAACUGCAAUGGCAUUAGGCAUAGCAAAUUACAGGUGAGCUUUUUUAGUUCAUCAUUAUGGUAAAUAUGGUUUUAAAAACAGAUGUUAGCAUUAAGUGAUUAAUCUAUUUUUAAUGUUGUUUAAUGUAUAAUGGGAUAACAGAAAUAACAUUGUGUUUAUAUGUACAUUUUGAAACUUGUAUUAAGUAUUGUUAAAUGAAAUACUUUUUCACUGUCUGCUCACUCUAUAGGUAGGCCAUGAAAUGUUUACCUUUAGUCACAUUUUUAUAAUAUUCCCUCAAUACUAAGAAAUCGUGUUUCCCUGAAUUUCCCCAUUUCAGGAAAACGUUAAUUAGACUAAAAUUAAUAUAGCUAUAAAUAAAACAUUUUCCUAGUUAGAGAAGCCCUGGGUGUCCCUAUCUGAGCAUUUCUGUAUCUAAUUAAGGUGAUAACCAAUGUGUUAUAUAGAGCUAUUUGAGUGCCUGUCUCAGUAGAGCAGAAUUUAGCUUCUUCCACCACAGCCCAUAGGAAUGAGUCACUCCCUGUGCAUCCCUAAGCAGACUGUCAUCUCUUGUCACCAUCAGGACCCUGCUCGCCCCGGUGAACAUUCAACGCUGUCGGUGAGUUUGAGCUAAAUGAAGAAAACCAUCGACCGUUGACUGUACCCUGUGGCUGGGUUUUGUCACUACGAAUCUGGCAAAAAAAAAAAAAACUGGAUGUAAAAACACACACAAAUGAGACUCACAUAGUUGUUAUACUAAUGCAUGCACAGGACCUAGUGGACCAAAAGGAGAUCUUUCUUCCAGGCGUUUCACAACAAAGGUCACAAUCAACAUUCAUUGCUGUCGGUGGGUUUAACUGUGUGGAAGAGCUCACUGAACGAUGAAUGCAACUGUGUCCCAGAUUUCGUCCGCCGCCGAGGGAAUAGCAGCAUGAUGAUGGCGUUAUUUACCUCCUCCGAUGUCAACUCGAAUCCAGUGUGCAGCUUAGAGACUGUGGAGCAAACUGACAGCAAGUUCACAUUGGAUUUUGGUCAGUGGAGCUGGAGGGUUUUGAUGGAAGACCCAGCAUUACUGAGGGCUAAAGUGGAAUAAUAUGAGCUUUAAUGUGAAAUGUAAACGUACCUGAUUAGAUGUAUGUUCUUUCAUAUCAUUAUUGACUUGGUUUGUAAAUUGUUAUUCAUUAGUUGUUGUUUUUUUUUUUUUAUUUAAUAAAAUGGU